UUCAAGCCUAAUCAGUGGAAGCAAUCACUACUUAGCUUGGUACCAACAGAAAUCAGGACAAGCUCCUAAGCUCCUUAUCUACUAUGCUACCAACCGUCCCUCUGGCAUCCCAGAUCGGUUCAGUGGCAGUGGGUCGGGCACUGACUUCAC